UACGAAGGGAGCCAGCGUUGUUCGGAAUCACUGGGCGUAAAGCGCACGUAGGCGGAUGUGUCAGUCAGGGUGAAAUCCCGGAGCUCAACUUCGGAACUGCCUUUGAUACAGCACGUCUUGAGUCCGAUAGAGGUGGGUGGAAUUCCUAGUGUAGAGGUGAAAUUCGUAGAUAUUAGGAAGAACACCGGUGGCGAAGGCGGCCCACUGGAUCGGUACUGACGCUGAGGUGCGAAAGCGUGGGAGCAAACAGG
rnacentral:rRNA from 1 species